AUUGAACGCUGGCGGCAUGCUUUACACAUGCAAGUCGAACGGCAGCGCGGGCUUCGGCCUGGCGGCGAGUGGCGAACGGGUGAGUAAUGCAUCGGAACGUGCCCAGUAGUGGGGGAUAGCCCGGCGAAAGCCGGAUUAAUACCGCAUACGACCUGAGGGUGAAAGCGGGGGACCGAAAGGCCUCGCGCUAUUGGAGCGGCCGAUGUCGGAUUAGCUAGUUGGUGGGGUAACGGCUUACCAAGGCGACGAUCCGUAGCUGGUCUGAGAGGACGACCAGCCACAUGGGGACUGAGACACGGCCCAGACUCCGACGGGAGGCAGCAGUGGGGAAUUUUGGACAAUGGGGGCAACCGGGAUCCAGCCAUGCGGCGGGCGGGAAGAAGGCCUUCGGGUUGUAAACUGCUGUUGGUCGGGAAGAAAUCCACUGGGCUAAUACCCCGGGGUGAUGACGGUACCGGAAGAAUAAGCACCGGCUAACUACGUG
rnacentral:rRNA from 1 species